GCAGGACGUCAGUGGAGGGAGAGUUGGGGGCGGAUGGGUGGGUAGCCUACAGGGACUCCAGCAGGGAGAGCAACCAAGGGGUAUCCCUUGGAGUGAAUGUGGACUGGUGUCACAUGCCUGCCCAUGGCGCAGGCCAGGAGGCCUAGAGGGUGGAGUAGAUACUGCCAAGGCCUGCCCAGGGUGGACAAGGGUGAGGAGAGGCCUGGCAGAGCAGACACAAUAGCCUGGGCUGGUGAGAGGGACACAGGCAUUGGGUGGUUUUGACACAGGCUCCUGGACCUCGAUUUUCCCUGGAUUCUGCAACUGACAUCAGUCCUUGGGCGAAGCUGUGGUCGGCUUCAGGACCAGCCUUGACUCCUGCUGACUCCAUAAGUGCAUCAGAGCUGUGACCACACUCCAGACAGGCCAGCCACCUGCAGAGAUGCACACCUGCCC